GAUCCAUAUAAAUAUAGUUUGGGGUUAACAAAGGCAUCUACUGACUCAUCAACCUGCAAUUUUGAACCUUUUCUACAGUAAGAACAGUAACAAUAGUUUUAAGGGAAAUGUCAAGAGAUUUUCUUUCCAUUAUUAGCUGAGAUUUGUUUAUUGUAACUAAAUAUAAGGUGAAAGGGUUGAAGAGGCACAAUUACAGGAUAUUUUAAACUAAAACUGAAAACGCAUUUGGA